UACGUAGGAUGCAAGCGUUGUCCGGAAUUAUUGGGCGUAAAGGGCGCGCAGGCGGCCCCUCAAGUCAGAUGUGAAAUAUCCCGGCUUAACCGGGAGGAGCCAUUUGAAACUGAAGGGCUGGAGUGCAGGAGAGGAUAGCGGAAUUCCCGGUGUAGUGGUGAAAUGCGUAGAGAUCGGGAGGAACACCAGUGGCGAAGGCGGCUAUCUGGCCUGCAACUGACGCUGAGGCGCGAAGGCUAGGGGAG
rnacentral:rRNA from 1 species